rnacentral:rRNA from 1 species
AGAAUCAACGCUGGCGGCGUGCCUAACACAUGCAAGUCGAACGAGAAAGUGGAGCAAUCCAUGAGUAAAGUGGCGACCGGGUGAGUAACACGUGACUAACCUACCUUCGAGUGGGGGAUAACCUCGGGAAAACCGAGGCUAAUACCGCAUAACAUCGCAAGAUCAAAGCAGCAAUGCGCUGGAAGAGGGGGUCGCGGCUGAUUAGCUAGUUGGCGGGUAACGGCCCACAAGGCGAAGAUCGGUAUCCGGCCUGAGAGGGCGCACGGACACACUGGAACUGAAACACGGUCCAGACUCCUACGGGAGGCAGCAGUGGGGAAUUUUGCGCAAUGGGGGAAACCCUGACGCAGCAACGCCGCGUGGAGGAUGAAGCCCCUUGGGGCGUAAACUCCUUUCGACCAAGACGAUAAUGACGGUACUGGUGGAAGAAGCACCGGCUAACUCUGCGCCAGCAGCCGC